rnacentral:rRNA from 1 species
CGGGGGGGGGGCGAGCGUUGUUCGGAAUCAUUGGGCGUAAAGGGCGCGUAGGUGGCUUGGCAAGUCAGAUGUGAAAGCCCACAGCUUAACUGGGGAAGUACAUUUGAUACUGCCAUGGCUUGAGUACAGGAGAGGAGAGUGGAAUUCCCAGUGUAGCGGUGGAAUGCGUAGAUAUUGGGAGGAACACCAGUGGCGAAGGCGACUCUCUGGCCUGAUACUGACACUGAGGCGCGAAAGCCAGGGGAGCGAACGGGAUUAGAUACCCCGGUAGUCCUGGCCGUAAACGUUGGGCACUAGGUGUAGGAGGUUAUAACCCCUUCUGUGCCGUAGCUAACGUGUUAAGUGCCCCGCCUGGGGAGUACGGUCGCAAAGGCUG